AAAUACAAGAACAAUAAAUUGUGUGUUUGUGUGUGUGCAUGAAUGUGUAAUUCCUCUAGGAGAAUAUAUUUUUAUGGACCUAAACUUAAGAAGGACAGAAAAAUAUCCUAUUUCUAAAUGACAUUUUAUGUCUUUCACAAACUACUGUAAACAUUAAAUUUAGAAUUCUUAAGUUGAAAAUCAAAGAACAUAUACAGAUUUCAUAUCAACAUAAUCAUAACUUAUCUACCUUGGGGUUUUUUUUGUUUUUUUUUUAAAGUUCUGGCCCCUCUGUAUCUUUGGGUGGGAUGACUAUUACCACACACAGGAAGAGGACCAAUCAUGAGAUCUUCCACAUCUUUCAUGCUUCCAAAUGGUUAUUCUGGUCUUCCUGAGGUUUCUUUUGGCAGCUCAAAGGAUUUUUUUAAUUACUUGUUUUCCACCAAGUUACAGAUAGAUACCCUGACACACAAGGUGCUACAGUAUUAUCUCAACAUAACAGGCCAAUUGGAGAGGAGACAAAUGUUACGGGAUCAGAAUGCAGUGAAAAUGAAACCUUUGGUUUUAUACCAGCAAGAUUCCCACCCAUUUAAAAAAAAGAUGCAAGCCUAACAAACAUACAGAAAAAACUGUAGGAAAUAAACAUCAAACCCAAUUGAAUAUUUUUAUGAAAUCAUUAUCACUAUGUUGAUAUUAAGGGAAAAUUUAGUCCCUAGUUUCAGGCCUAUAAUUGUCUAAAUACAGACAUCUCUCCAAUCUUUUUUUUUUUUCCCAAGUACAAUUUCUUUUGCCACUAGAAUGAAAGGCUGAAGCUUUAGAGAUUCUACAAGUUCAAAAAUAGAAGAAAAGUUGUUAAAAAUACAAAUUUUAGGAGCUGAGCCCCAGAUUCCCCACAUUCUUGAGAGGCUCUCUCCUUCUAAAUCUCUACCCUAAAUUCUUCAACUUCAACUAAUUAUUUAAGCAUAAAUUCCAACAACUAAGAUUUUUACAGGUUUUGAGCACCCUCUUUUACACAGGCAAAUACCUAGAAGACAUAAUGGACUAAUAUUUGUGUUAAUGCCAGUUUGUUAACUUGCUUCAAUUCUAUGUGUCAGUCACUAAAUUCAGGGCCAAAGAAAGAUGAAUAAAGCCCGGACCCCUGUCUCUCAGGGACGCAUGUCUGGCAAACCAGGUAGUCUAAGGGGAUAGACAUUUGGCCACUAAGACAGGAGGGCAGAAAACUGUGUAGCAUGGCUCCUUUGGGGAAAAGCCUGGUUCUGGUGUAACUGGAGGCUUAUGGAGCUAGGAGAACAUGUGGGGCCUAGGGAGAGUGGCCAUAGGUAUGAGAGAUGCAUGCAAAAGGAGACUGAAAGGCUACCAAAAACAGACUGAUGUCAACCUUUUAUUUAGGUCUUGUCCCAUCCCCAGGAGAGUGUGAAAUGGGUUAGAGCUGGAGGGACAAUAGGCCCUGCUUUCUCACUCUCAGCUAGCAUGGUCACCUGAUGAUUAUGGGCAUACAGGCCAAGCUGUAAUAUACCGCAACUUAAUUACUGCAUUUUAGAUCACUGCAGUUGAAAAAACUGAAACUACAAGUUCAACUAUUAUGGGGACCUGCUUAAGUAUAUGACAAAAUACUCAAGUGAACAACCCAAACUUGGCUAAAUUAUACUUGUGUACUAAAUGUGUGCAUAUUUCAAAACAAAACCAUGUUUUUGUGAUAACAUUAAAACCAUUCAUCAACAGAAAUGUCAGUGCCUUAGAGAGUGGCAUGUUGGGCUUCAGAGGGGGUUAUCACUGUACUGUCAGCAACCAAAGAGAGAAUUAAACAUGGGUGAUAUAAAGAAAGGCAAGAGAAUUAAACACGGGUGAUAUGGAGAAAGGCAUUUUUUGUUCCGAAGUGUGCCCAGGGUCACACCCUGGAAAAGGGAGGCAAGUACAAGACUGGGCCAAAUCUCCAUGGCUUCUAUGGGUGGAAGACAGAUCAGCCUGCUGGAUUCUCUUAACCAGACACCAAUCAUAACAAAGGCAUCACCUGAGGACAGGAUACACUGAUGGAGUUUUGAGAGAAUCCCAAGAAGUACAUCCCUGGAAUGAAAAUGAUCUUCACCAGCAUUAAGGAGUAGGCAGAAAGGGCAGACUUGAUAGCUUAUCUCAAAAAAGCUACUCAUGAGUAAUAAUUGGUCACUGCCUUAUUUAUUAUAAAACAGAAAUGUCUCAUGACUUUUUUAUGUGUACCACAAUUUAAUUGGUCUCAUACACCAGAAUUCAGA